rnacentral:rRNA from 1 species
CUUUUGUUUUAUUUAUUUAAGGUCUGACCUGCCCAAUGAGGAAUUGAAUGGCCGCAGUAUUCUAACUGUGCUAAGGUAGCAUAAUCAUUUGUCUUUUAAUUGAGGGCUGGAAUGAAGGGUUGGACGAAAUAUUAACUUUCUUUAGUUUAAUUUUAUGAAUUUAAUUUUUGAGUCAAAAAGCUUAAAUUAACUUAUAGGACGAGAAGACCCUAUAGAUCUUUAUAAUUUUAUAUUUUAGUAAUUUAGGGAUUGUUUUACUUGAAGUAGAAGAAUUAUUUUGUUGGGGUGACUGUAGAAUUUAACAAACUUCUAUUUAUUUAUUUCAUUGAUUAGUGUUUCUUUGAUCCAUGUAUUAUGAUUAUAAGAUUAAG